AACACGGACCAAGGAGUCUAACGUGUGCGCGAGUCAACGGUGAUCUUAUGAAAAACCACGUUUGGCGCAAUGAAAGUGAACCGUUUACGGUGCGGACGAUGGCCUAGCGACCGAACCCACCGGCGUUCAAAGUCGCGCUGGUCCGCAGUCCGGGGGCGUCUCCGCCAGGUCGGCUUCGGCCGUCCGGGGGCGCACCCUUAGCGCACACGUUGGUACCCGAAAGAUGGUGAACUAUGC
rnacentral:rRNA from 16 species